rnacentral:rRNA from 1 species
GACGAACGCUGGCGGCGUGCUUAACACAUGCAAGUCGAACGGUGAAAGCGGAGCUUGCUCCGCUGGAUCAGUGGCGAACGGGUGAGUAACACGUGGGCAACCUGCCCCUCACUUCGGGAUAACUCCGGGAAACCGGGGCUAAUACCGGAUAUGACCUCCUUGGGCAUCCUUGGAGGUGGAAAGUUUUUCGGUGAGGGAUGGGCCCGCGGCCUAUCAGCUUGUUGGUGAGGUAGUGGCUCACCAAGGCGACGAGGGGUAGCCGGCCUGAGAGGGCGACCGGCCACACGGGGAAUGAGACACGGCCCAGACUCCUACGGGAGGCAGCAGUGGGGAAUAUUGCGCAAUGGGCGAAAGCCUGACGCAGCAACGCCGCGUGCGGGAUGACGGCCUUCGGGUUGUAAACCGCUUUCAGCAGGGAAGAAGCCGCAAGGUGACGGUACCUGCAGAAGAAGCACCGGCUAACUACGUGCCAGCCGCCGCUGUAA